UGCGCGCUCCUUAUGAGAAUCUAACGCCUGAUGACCUAUCACUGUCUCCCAUCACUCCCAGAUGGGACCGUCUAGUUGCAGGAAAACAAGCUCAGGGCUCCCACUGAUUCUACAUUAUGAUCAACUGCAUGGGGUCCUACAGGAGAAGACCAAGAGACAGAGACAGGGACCAGGGAAAAUGACCGAUACCAUUCCUUCUCAGGGAUGCUACACACCCAUGGGGCAGAGGAUAAGAGGUUCCUGAAGGCAUCACCCCUCUGGCCAUGGCUGGUGUGCAGACAAAGCUGGAGAUUUGGAGUAACCUGUUGUCCCACUGACUCUUAGACUGCCCCAGCUAAGAAGAACCAACUCCUCCUAUUACAGAUGAAAUAAACAAAGCUACUCAAGCUCUCUGGCAUCGCCCUGACGGUCAUCAUGUGCUUGACAUUUCCCUCCUGCCCCCCCGAUUUUCUGGAAAAGGGAGAAAGUGUGUGAAAAAAAAUGGACAAUAACUUCUGUUAACUUUAUAGAUGUCUGGUUCCUCCAUAUGAGGCUGUGCUUGAAUCAGUUUUGGAGAGAGGGUUUCUAAAGUCUCUCUAGAUUCUAUUAAUUUUGAUAGAGACAAUAAAAGGCAGCAGGACCAACUCUGUGUGGUGGGAGAUUUAGCAACCAUUAUAGUCACAAUAGCCACCACUUACUGAACACCGACCAUGUGACAAAGAACAAAUGUGCAUGAAUUAUGUCACAUUUUUCACAAGCACCCCCUUGAGUUGGGAGUUCACUCAUGAGGCAACUGAGGUUCAGGGAGAUGAAGUAACUCACCCUGUAGGUAGGAGGGCUGAGAUCUGGAUGUAGAUCUUUCCUCCAAAGCUUUGUCUUUUUCUUUCUACUAUAGCACACCAAAGAGAGUUCUAGAAAAAAUGAGAAUAAGAAAUUUACCUGUAAUCCUUGCUCAAGAAACUGAAGCUCUGAGGCCACAUUGUUCCAGCCUUUUGCAGCUCCUGCAUGUGGAUACCAGCACCAGCAGCUCCCGGACCAGGGGCCCCAGCUAAGCCCUCCCAGAGGAUGAUCUUGGCUUUGUACAUGGGGUGCCAAUAUCCUGUGAGUCCAACAGAGGGAAGACAUAAGAAUAUGGUCACCCAGAUCACUUUGGGAUUGGGCAGGUGACCCUUUCUGGCCAUGACAAAUGCUUCUGAGAAAGGCUUCCUUUCCUUGAGAAAUCGAAGAUGAGACAGCCUCUCUUCUUCUUCUGGACCUUAUUCCAUCUGGAUGUGACAUGUGGAACUGCUGCACCAUGUCACUAUCAGCCUGGAAGAUAAUCCGAGAUGAGCCGACCUUGAGCCUCCCAGGCCCUCCAGACUUUAAGUAAUGUGAGAUAAUUCCAUUUUAUUUUUCAAACUACUUUGGGUUGUGGAGUUUUGCUACUUGCAGCCAAUACAUCCCAACUGAUCCGCAGUCCCACCUUCUUGAGUUGGGGAUAGAAGACCCUUGUAACACACUAUACACUGAGAAGGUGGAAGAAACAGAAGGGGGAGGAAUGAUUCAAAAGUUACCGCAUGCUUUCACUUAAGACUUAUAGUCUUUUAAAAUCUUAUUUCAUUAGCCUAUUGCUAAACAAAACAAAACGGUUUUUUUUCAUUUGUUUUGUUCUUUUCUUUAUUUUUUGAGAUAGAAUCUCGCUCUAUCACCCAGGCUGCAGUGCAGUGGUGCCUCCCGGGUACAGGCGGGCACCACUACACCUGGCUAAUUUUUGUGAUUUUAGUAGAGACGGGGUUUCACCAUGUUGGCCAUGCUGGUCUUGAACUUCUGACCUCAAGUGAUCUGCCCACCUCGGCUUCCCAAAGUGUUGGGAUUACAGGUGUGAGCCACUGCAUGCCUGGCCACAAAAUGUUUAAUUUAUGGCACAAUGAAAUGAGGUUGUUUAUUCCUCAGAUUUGCUGAAAUCAGUAUUUUCUUUUAUUUCCAUCAACAGAGAUGCCACUAAUUCAAAUGGGAAUUCAUGUCUUCCUCUCUGCCUUGUCUGAAUAGUUAUGAAUGAUGGUAAUAGAUACUUUGGUUAUUCCUCGAGAAUGCUGUGAGACGAUGGCUGAGCUUUUAACUUCUGUGAUUUAGUGUGAUUCUAGAUCAUUGUUAGAAUUGACAGUAGAUAUAGCAAACUAAAAGCACACACCGGACCCGCUAGGAUAAGCCAGAAGAUGCUGCAGUAACAGCAUGAGUGACUCAGGGGCUUAGCAGCAAACAUUUACCUCUCACUUAUACGAAGUCCACCCUGAAUGUUCCAGGUAGCUCUCCUCCAUAUGGUGACUCAGUGGUCCCAGAUACUUUGCUCUGUGGCUCUCUCAACACAGGCUUCCAUGAUCACUAUGACAAGAGAUAGAGCUUCUCACCCCAGUGACAUAUCAGGAGUGUCAUUCCUGUUAUGUCAUUCCUGAUAUUCCACUGGCCAGCACUAAUCACAUGAUCUGCCUAACUGCAAAGUGAGCAGGGAUGUGUCAUUGAGGCAGGAGAAUAGGGUCUGGAGGCAGGGAACCUAAGGCCAUCUCACACUAACUUCAUAGAACUAAAUUGAAAGGAAAACCCUAACUUUCCAUGUCUAAGUAACAAAAGGAUCAGAGGCUACAACCUUUGCAAACCCCCACCUUUUCUGCAUGGCAGAUGGGAAAUUGAAAGUACCUCUAAUUGGUUGCAAAAAGCAACCAAUCAGACGUUUGGAUAGGAGCAUACCUUUGUAACUUCACUUCACCCUCUGAUGGUGGCUGCCCACAACCAAUUAGACUGAUUGAGAGGCAAGUCUUCGUUUGCAUAGAAUGACAACUUUGAAACUUCACUUUAGCCUCUGAUUGGUUGCUUCCCACAACCAAUCAGAUGUUUGCAUAGGAGUGUGACCUUUGUAACUUCACUUCAGCCUCUGAUUGGUUCUGCAACCAAUCAGACUGAUUGCGGGCCACCACUUCAUUUACAUGGGGUGAACACCUGGUGGCCAAUGGGAAACCUCUAGGGGGCAUUUGACCCGAGAAGAUCCUGUAUGGUGGCCAUUGAGCCCCUAUGCUCGGCUAGCUCCCACACUGUGGAGUGCACUUUCAUUUUCAAUAAAUCUCGGCUUUUGUUGCUUAAUUCUUUCCUUGCUUUGUUGGUGUGUUUUGUCCAAUUCUUUAUUCAACAUGCCAAGAACCUGGACACCCUCCACCGGUAACAUCAUCACCCAUGUGUCCUAACAGAGAGGAGGACUGGGUGCUUAAGUGGCAAAGUUUUGAAGGGCAUUACCUGCCCUGCUGGGUAGAGGGUGAAGAGAACUAUAAGGCCUUUCAUAACAUGAAUAGGAAUUGGGAAUUAGAAUUACUUAAUUAUGGCUCUUGUCUUGGUGGAUUUGAAAUGAGCUGUCUUUCGCUUAUUGUUAAGUCUCCCAGCUUGGACAAAUGUCCAUCUUGACCAUUGUCUUCCCUGUGACUCUUUUUUUUUUGAGACGGAGUCUAGCUCUGUCACCCAGGCUGGAGUGCAGUGGCGUGAUCUCGGCUCACUACAACAUCUGCCUCCCGGAUUCAAGUGAUUGUCCUGGCUCAGCCUUCUGAGUAGCUGGGAUUACAGGUGCACGCCACCAUGCCUGGCUAAUUUUUGUAUUUUUAGUAGUGACGUGGUUUUCACCAUGUUAUCAGGCUGGUCUCAAACUCCUGACCUCG